UAGGGAAUUUUCGGCAAUGGACGAAAGUCUGACCGAGCAACGCCGCGUGAGUGAAGAAGGUUUUCGGAUCGUAAAACUCUGUUGCUAGAGAAGAACAAGGACGUUAGUAACUGAACGUCCCCUGACGGUAUCUAACCAGAAAGCCACGGCUAACUACGUGCCAGCAGCCGCGGUAAUACGUAGGUGGCAAGCGUUGUCCGGAUUUAUUGGGCGUAAAGCGAGCGCAGGCGGUUUCUUAAGUCUGAUGUGAAAGCCCCCGGCUCAACCGGGGAGGGUCAUUGGAAACUGGGAGACUUGAGUGCAGAAGAGGGGAGUGGAAUUCCAUGUGUAGCGGUGAAAUGCGUAGAUAUAUGGAGGAACACCAGUGGCGAAGGCGGCUCUCUGGUCUGUAACUGACGCUGAGGCUCGAAAGCGUGGGGAGCAAACAGG
rnacentral:rRNA from 1 species